UACGAAGGGGGCUAGCGUUGCUCGGAAUUACUGGGCGUAAAGCGCACGUAGGCGGUCUUUUAAGUCGGGGGUGAAUCCUGGAGCUCAACUCCAGAACUGCCUUUGAUACUGAAAGUCUUGAGUAUGGGAGAGGUGAGUGGAACUGCGAGUGUAGAGGUGAAAUUCGUAGAUAUUCGCAAGAACACCAGUGGCAAAGGCGGCUCACUGGCCCAUUACUGACGCUGAGGCACGAAAGCGUGGGUAG
rnacentral:rRNA from 1 species